rnacentral:rRNA from 1 species
UAAGGGAUAUUGCGCAAUGGGCGAGAGCCUGACGCAGCAACGCCGCGUGCGGGAUGACGGCCUUCGGGUUGUAAACCGCUUUUCGAGGGGAAGAGGGUGGACGGUACCCUCGGAAGAAGUCUCGGCUAACUACGUGCCAGCAGCCGCGGUAAAACGUAGGAGGCGAGCGUUAUCCGGAUUUACUGGGUGUAAAGCGCGUGCAGGCGGCUUGGGAAGUGGUGCGUGAAAGCGCCCGGCUCAACCGGGCGAGGCCGUGCCAAACUGGCAAGCUGGAGGCAGGUAGAGGCGGGUGGAAUUCCGGGUGUAGUGGUGAAAUGCGUAGAGAUCCGGAGGAACACCGAGUGGCGAAGGCGACCCGCUGGGCCUGGCCUGACGCUCAGACGCGAAAGCAUGGGGAGC